rnacentral:rRNA from 1 species
CCUACGGGGCGCAGCAGUGAGGAAUAUUGGUCAAUGGCCGGAAGGCUGAACCAGCCAAGCCGCGUGAAGGACGAAGGUGCCAUGCAUUGUAAACUUCUUUUGUCAAGGGACAAAAUCAGGCACGAGAGCCUGACCGUGUGUACCCUAAGAAUAAGCAUCGGCUAACUCCGUGCCAGCAGCCGCGGUAAUACGGAGGAUGCGAGCGUUAUCCGGAUUUAUUGGGUUUAAAGGGUGCGUAGGCGGGCUGUUAAGUCAGCGGUAAAAGUCCGGGGCUCAACCCAGGCGAGCCGUUGAAACUGGCGGACUUGAGAGGUCGUGAGGUAGGCGGAAUGCGCGGUGUAGCGGGGAAAUGCUUAGAUAUUGCGCAGAACUCCGAUUGCGAAGGCAGCAUAC